AUGCAUAUUCUGGCUACUAGACAGCAACUGUCGCACAAUUCUCAGGAAGCAUUUGCAUUUCUUUGUUUUGAAACGAUGACACCCAAAUACGAGAACACCCGCCCCCUCCCCUUGGGCCCUGCCUGCAUCAAGACUGUUUUAGCAGCCCAGAGGCCAAGCCCGGCCCAGCCUCCCUCACCUGAACCCAGGCCCUGCCAGCCAAGCAGCCCCUUUCUCAGCGGCUGCUGUUGCUGUUGCUGUUUCCUCCACCUACUGUGACCUCCCAGCCUAUGCCUUCUUCAGUGGGUUCCAGCUCAGAGUGCAAUUGGAGAAGGCAGAGAGCUUGGCUGGCUUUCUGUCUGUAGCUUGCUACUGGCUACAACUAAAAAAGGUUUCCUGAUGCUCCAGGAGGAGGACCAUGGUCAACAACGUCACUCCUCAGGCACAGUGGAGCUUUUUAGUACCGGUAAAAACUUGUCUGUGUGGGAGACAGGGGUUUUUUGAGGGCUGGUGAAACAACUCCCACAGGAACUAAACAUCAUCACAAACUUCACCACCAUUUGCUCCAAGUGCAGAGUGUGCUUCUUUGACCUUCCCUUCUCCCAUAUAAACACAGAACAGUAUGUACGUUUUGAGGAAAAAAAGGCCUUAAAACAGCAUCACCAGCAUGGGACCUACCAAAACAAAACACUGGUUUGCAUACACAAUUCUACACUUGGCAGAGGAUGAAAAAAGUAUUGAACCACAUCAGAGAUAUUAGUCACAGCACUUAAUACACAGGUACUACAGAGAGGAAGAGAAUGUAAGAACUUUCUAAGAAAGGAAAGAACAAUGCUUAGGAUGCAAAGAAUCUAGAUGAGAUGUAGCCAGGUGAAGAAUGACUGCCAAGUGCACAAGUGACACAGGAGAUGUAUGCCACUUGGCAAGCUUACACGAUUGGUCCAAGAAGUAAUUAAAGAUGAGCCAGUAAGGAAUAAUGCUCAAAAUAUAAGUAUAUAAAACUUUCUCUUGGGAAGGACUGGUCCAGCAGUUGGCAUGAUAAUACAAAACUGAAGAAAAACAGAUAUAAAAUAAAAUAAUAAAAAACAGGAAACA
rnacentral:lncRNA from 1 species